rnacentral:rRNA from 1 species
CAGAGCCGCGGUAAUGCGUAGGCGGCAAGCGUUGUCCGGAAUUAUUGGGCGUAAAGGGCUCGCAGGCGGUUUCUUAAGUCUGAUGUGAAAGCCCCCGGCUCAACCGGGGAGGGUCAUUGGAAACUGGGAAACUUGAGUGCAGAAGAGGAGAGUGGAAUUCCACGUGUAGCGGUGAAAUGCGUAGAGAUGUGGAGGAACACCAGUGGCGAAGGCGACUCUCUGGUCUGUAACUGACGCUGAGGAGCGAAAGCGUGGGGAGCGAACAGGAUUAGAUACCCCUGUAGUCCCUGUCUCUUAUACA